CAAGAAGGUUCCAACUGUAUCUGUCACAAUCUUAAUGCUCCAGACUAACCUGAUUUAUCAUCAUAAAGCUAAACCAUCACACCUGAAGGAUUACCGAAUCUAAGAACAAUGAGAGAGAAUGUGGAACGUCCAUUCUAAUUGUUUCGCUAUAAUUUAGAGCUGAGUGAAAUCUUUUGUAAAGAGGAGCAUCUCAAAGGGAAAUGCUGGUACAAAUUUUGCUACUGUUCAUCAAAGUAUCCCUUGAUGCCAUCUGACUUAGUGACCUCCCACAACACUGAAGUGUGGAAGGUGGCAACACUCAUCACAACAACGAGUGCAGCUUGAAAUUUGAAAAACAGUAAUGCGGCACGAGUUUGACACCAACAAAAUG